rnacentral:rRNA from 1 species
GGACCCGCACAAGUAGUGGAGCAUGUGGUUUAAUUCGAAGAUACGCGCAGAACCUUACCAACACUUGAUAUGUUCGUCGCGACUCUAAGAGAUUAGAGUUUUCGGUUCGGCCGGACGAAACACAGGUGCUGCAUGGCUGUCGUCAGCUCGUGUCGUGAGAUGUUGGGUUAAGUCCCGCAACGAGCGCAACCCUCACUUUUAGUUGCCAUCAUUAAGUUGGGCACUCUGAAAGAACUGCCAGUGAUAAGCUGGAGGAAGGUGGGGAUGACGUCAAGUCCUCAUGGCCCUUACGUGUUGGGCUACACACGUGCUACAAAGUUAUAUACAACGAGAAGCAAUGAAAUGAUUCGGAGCAAUCUUUAACGUAUAACCUAGUUCGGAUUACUCUCUGAAACUCGAGAGUAUG